GGAUUAGAUACCCUGGUAGUCCACGCCGUAAACGAUGAGUGCUAGAUGUCGCGGGCAUUGACCCCUGCGGUGUCGCAGCUAACGCAUUAAGCACUCCGCCUGGGGAGUACGGCCGCAAGGCUAAAACUCAAAGGAAUUGACGGGGGCCCGCACAAGCGGUGGAGCAUGUGGUUUAAUUCGAUGCAACGCGCAGAACCUUACCUGGGCUAGAAACGGCAGGAAUCUGGGUGAAAACUCGGAGUGCUUUUCGGAGAAUCUGUCGCUAGGUGCUGCAUGGCUGUCGUCAGCUCGUGCCG
rnacentral:rRNA from 1 species